rnacentral:rRNA from 1 species
AUGUACAUUCCUAUAGCAUAGCGUUAAUGCACUGGAUCCCAUUAGAAAUCCCCAGUUAAUCACGCUUAGACUAGAGUAGUACUCGGAUGGGUGAAUACUUGGGAAGUCAUACUAUUUUACAUG